GCUCGCAGUGCAGCUUGCAUGCCUGCAGGUCGACGAUUUUCCGGUUGAUCCCGCCGGAGGCCACUGCUAUUGGGGUUCGGCUAAGCCAUGCGAGCGGAGGGCGCGGUCGCAAGAUCGUGGCCCCACACACGGCUCAGUAACACGUAGUCAAUCUACCCUCGAGUCUGGGACAACCUCGGGAAACUGAGGACAAUCCCGGAUAGGCGAUGGACGCUGGAAUGCCUCAUCGCCCAAAGCUCCGGCGCUCGAGGAUGAGACUGCGGCCUAUCAGGCUGUUGGUGGUGUAACGGACCACCAAACCUACGACGGGUAUGGGCAAUGAGAGUUGGAGCCCAGAGAUGGGGACUGAGACAAGGCCCCAGGCCCUACGGGGCGCAGCAGGCGCGAAAACUCCGCAAUGCGCGAAAGCGUGACGGGGGAACCCCAAGUGCCGUUGGUCUUUUGAUCGACGGCUUUUAGGAAGUCUAAGAAGCUUCCGGAAUAAGGGCUGGGCAAGUCUGGUGCCAGCCGCCGCGGUAAUACCAGCAGCCCAAGUGGUGGUCACGUUUAUUGGGCCUAAAGCGCUCGUAGCCGGGUCUGUAAGUCCCUUGUGAAAUCGGACGGCUCAACCGUUCGGCUUGCAAGGGAGACUGCUAGCCUUGGAACCGGGAGAGGUCGGGGGUACUUCGGGGGUAGCGGUGAAAUGCUGUAAUCCCUGGGGGACCACCAGUGGCGAAGGCGCCCGACCAGAACGGAUUCGACGGUGAGGGGCGAAGGCUGGGGGAGCGAACGGGAUUAGAUACCCCGGUAGUCCCAGCUGUAAAGGAUGCGGGCUGGGUGUCAGGUGCCCUUUGAGAGCACUUGGUGCCGUAGGGAAGCCGUUAAGCCCGCCGCCUGGGAAGUACGGUCGCAAGGCUGAAACUUAAAGAAAUUGGCGGGGGAGCACCACAAGGGGU
rnacentral:rRNA from 1 species